AUCACAAACUAAAACAUAGGAAAAACAUCGAAUAGAAAACGAAAUCCUCAAAAUAUAACUUAAAGCUCAUCCCUCUUGAGUGCGGAUGGACGAACACCUUGAGCGAGGAAAUCUUUGUAAUACUUGGCUGAUUCUUUCUCAUAACGUGUGAGGUUAUUUUUGAAAUCGACGUAAUAGAGUCCGAAUCUGUUUUUGUAACCAUCUUGCCAUUCGAAGUUAUCCAACAAUGACCAUACAAAGUAUCCCGUAACUCUCACCUUAUCGAUGCUGCACAAACACAAUUAUGUUCUUAAUUAGACCAUUCAAUAGAAUCGUUAGUCAAUCUAUCAAAUAAUAAAAGGCUUACCAAAUAGCCUCGUUCAUAGCCAGAAGAUGCCUCUGAAGAUAAUAUUUCCUGUUAUGAUCAGCAGUACCAACGUCAACCGAAUCUGUGGUCCCAAGUUUAUCUCCAUAUCCUAGAAAAAACAACAUUAUAAUGAUCAGUAUAUUACUCUUAAGAGUUAAGAUUAAAUCAACACACAAAUAUAACAAUAAAUCUCGAGUUACCAUUUUCCAUUAUCAUAAUCUCCGGGUUUGCGUAUUUGUCCUUGAUGUACUUUAAAAGCUUUCUAAAUCCUUUAGCGUAGACGGGCAAUGCAGCAGUAAGAGGCUGAAAUAAAGCAAUGGUGAAAAUGUUAUGUCGUAGACAAAAAUUAACAAUCACAAACUAGGACUAGUUUAAUCAAACGCUUACCAUGCUACCAAUGGCGCUGUGAUCUACAUUCUUAGCUGAAAAAUAAAAAGUGAAAAUGUAUGCAUAUCAAUUAGUAUUAUAAAACCUUUUAUCUUUAGUUUCUUGGUUUGGUUUCAUGUACGGAAAACAAAAAAAAACUUACGUUCCCAGGAAACAAGAGAAUCUUGCUUCCAACUUGGUUUAGACGGAUCUGGCUUCUCAUUAUAAUUUGAAAAUGUCGAAGUAUAGUAGUUAAGCCCUACGAAAUCGGUCGAAUCUUUCAAUUUUGCUUUUUGUGCAGCAGUAAAUUGAGGCAAUCUGUAACCAAGAAGGUCUUUCAUGAUUUGUGGAUAAUCUCCCGAAGUAGUUGGCUCCAGAUGCCUACACAAAAUUAAUAACUACAUUAAUUUUUAUGAAAUUAUAUACGAGAAACCAUUUUCUAACAUAAUAUAUACUUACCAUCCCAACAUAAAGUCAAGUACACGGCUAACAGUUGGAGCGUCAUUUGAAUCUUUAAGAUCAUGUGGUUCGAACCAAGCCGGACUAUGUGCGAUUCCGAUUUUCCCACCUUUAACCUAUGUCCAUAAACACAACACAAAACAACCUAUUUUAAGAUUCGAAACCUGAUAAUUAAUUGUGAUUUAUAUCUAAUGUGACCUGAUAAUUAAUUAUGAUUUAUAUCUAAUGUAAACUACCUUUUGGCGGAAAACUUCAACAGCUUCUGCGUGAGCGUUGAGGAGAUUGUGACUGACUAGAUAAGCCUCUUUACCAGAUUGUCCCUCUCGGUCUUCGCAACCUGGAACGUAGCGAGAACAACGUCCUGGUGCUUUCUUUCCUAAGUCGUAACCUGCGUGAGCAAAGACCCAUGGCUCGUUGAAAGUGAUCCAGUUUUUCACUUUUCCACCGUAUUCAGUGAAAACAUAAUCUGCAUAUUCUCGAAAAUCUUUCCUGUAUUUUUGCAAAAAAAAAAGAUACCAAAUUAAUAAUUUCCAUAUAAACUUAACUAAAUGUAUUUUGUUUAAUUUACAAAAACAUACACAAUGUUUUGGCUUAAGAAACCGCCAUAUUCGUCUUCCAAAUCUUGUGGAGUGUCCCAAUGGAAAACAGUCACAAACGGAACUAUACCUAUUUAUGACGUAAAAUAGAAAGAAAUGUUAAAUAAGGAUACUAUAUUACUUGUAUUUUUGUGAACUAGGUAUUUUAUAUGUAUAUAACCAUUUUUAAGGAGUUCAUCGAUGAGCUCGUGGUAGAAUUGCACACCAGCUUGACUCACUCCCUUCUCCUUUCUCCCAUCUAAUAAAGCAUUACAGUUUGUUUCAUUAGUUAUUGAUACUUCAACAUUCACAUAUACAUCAUCUAAAUUCAUUGGUUAUUAGUAUUAUAUAACAAUCACAUAAAUCUAAUUUCACCAAAUUCGAUUAAAACAAAAUCAAACUAGAGAUCUGCAGACAUAUACUCACGAGGAAAUAUUCUUGACCAUGCGAUUGAGAGUCUGAAUGCAUCUGUGUUUAGAUUCUUCAUUAGCUGAAUAUCUUCCUACAAACAUUUUUAAGACAAGGCAAAAUUUCAAUAACAUCUCGAGAAUAUAAGUUAUGUUUGUCUUAAAUUUAUAUUAAUAUAUACCUUAUAACGAUGGAAGAAAUCAACGGCCACAUCGGCGUGGUCGCCACUACAUCUCUCUGUAAUUUGAAAGUAAUUAAGAAAAUUAAUGGCUAUGUAUUGAUAUUAAUUAGUUAAAUUUAAUUUAAUAUUUAAACAUACUGUAUUGAGAAUGUAGAUUAUACGAGUACACUCACCUGGAUUUCUUCUACAGUAGAUAUCCCAUAGAGCCGGUCCACGACAAGUUUCAUUAAUUGCACCUUCGACCUAAUGACAUAACAAAAAAUAGUUGAUGAGUUGAGGAAUAUCACAUGCACAAAUGAUUUCAAAUGAUAGGUAUAACAUAUUUUGAGCAACUUUUACAUAAAAAAAAACCAUAUUUUAAAAAUAUGGAUUUGAAUUCAGAUAGAAACACAAUAACGACACUACUUUUUGUUUUUUGAACUAUGAUUUAGUAAAUCUGUUGUACCUGAAACGCAGCAGUAGCCGUGCCAAACAAAAACCCAUUAGGGAAACUUGCUCGGCUUAGCUUGGAAGUCGCCGGGCAAACAGGAUCAUCAACCGCUGUUGUCACAGAGACGAGGAUGGUUAGGAGCAAAAGCAGCCCCAUGAGAGGAAACUUUUGCAAUGCCAUUUUUGUUUUUAGUUUCUUCUGGAAGAGAACAAGUUUAUGAUGAUUUGUUUACAUCCAAUCGGAGUUCUUUAUAUAGCGAUUUUGAUUGUUUGUUAACGAGUGACUAAAAUAUAAUUGUUUAGUAAAACUAUUUUAUAUAUAGGAUGAUUCAUUGCAUGACCUCGACCGUUGUGUUCUUACUUAGUUUGGAACAUAUUAUAUUGUGCGUGGAACUAAUAUAAGUUCUUCAUCCAUUUUGGAUUUAAUUAUUUGAUUAGUCCAUUUUGGAUAUCAUAAUCUCCCAAUAUGAUUAUUUGUGUUUCAUAAUAAACCUUUUUCGGAAUAACUCUUAUGUACUUUGUCUAUGGUUUCGAUAAUUAACUAUGUUCAUAUAUAUAUAAAUAUAUAAUAUUGGUGUUUUAUAUAAUUUAAUAAUUGUAUAUUAUUUAUUUGGUAAUUUUUGGUUUAAACCACUGUCGCAUCUACUGCUAAGCCAAUCAUAAAAUUGCCGUAAAUACACAUAUUUUUAACUGUAAACCAGUCAUUUAAAAUGUCCGAUAACGUUUAAAACCUCAACCAAUUACUUCCAUUAACUUCCACAAUGACAACCACACCCCGUUGCAUUUAAACCAACGAAAACCCUAAAUAAUAACAAGCCUAUUUUUGAUACUCAAAUAAUUGGAGACUUUAUUAUUUUUCAAAACUUAAUUGUAAAAACAUAUUUUUUAACUUGUUUAACGAACAUUACUCUUAAUCUUUCAUAAAUCAGUUUCUAAUUCGAAAAAAAGUUAUACCUUAUUCUGAAAAAAUUCAGGUAGCAAGUAAAGGAUCUCUCAUUUAAUGUUUGGACUAAUGAAUGACUAAACUAUAUGAGUAUGUAUUUAGUAAGACUAUUUUUAUAGUAUAUAGGAUGCUUCAUGGCACGAUCUCGAUCAUUGUAUUAUAUAUAGUUUAGUAAAUCUAUUUAAUAAAUAGGAUGAUUCAUUGCAUUAUCUCGAUCAUUGACUAAUUCUUACUUAUUUUUCCUAGUUUGGAACAUAUUAUAUUGGGCGUGGAACAUAUAAUAUAAAAACGUGACUUAAAAAUAUAUCAUGUAUGUCCAAAAAAAAAGUUUACAGCAUGAGGAGUCCUCGAACCAAUCGGCCGGCCCUAAGUCAAUGGAUCAUUUAGUGCCUCGUAUAGAUCUAGAUCGAGUUUUGGAUCUUAUUUUGUUAUGGACGUUAAGUUAUUAAUGUGUUAGUGACUAAAAUAUAAAUAUAUAAUACAACUGUUUAAUAGGAUGACUCAUUCCAUGAUCUAUAUGGUUUACAUUACUUUUUUGUUUUCCAAUAUAUAGUCCUCGUGUCUAAAACUCUAAACUAAAUUAUAUCCUCUUUAUAUUUUAUAAUUGACACAUUUUGCGCGAAUAAAAAGACAAAUCAUUAACUAUACAAAUAUACCAUUACUUUAUUAGAUGAUAUUUCCUCUAUUUCAAAUUAUAUGAUGUUUUAGAUUAAAACACACACUUUAAGAAAUUUAUUUUUAAUUAUAAAAUUUGUUCUCUUGAUAUUAAAAAUACAAAAUACAAACCAAUAGUCAAAUAAUCAAAUAAAAUAUAUUUAAAAAUUGCAUUGAUAUUAGUAAAACAUCCUAAAUAAAUCUCUGAAAUAUCCUAUAUAAUGAAUCAGAGUGAGUGUUAAAUUUAAAACAAAAAUAUGAAUAAAUUAAAGAAUAAACGUGGAAGUUUAUUUGAAAAGUAAAAUUGGAAAUUUAAAAUAACAUGUUUUUUUUUGAAACAAAAUAAAAAUUCCACAAGAACACUAGUGGUUGUUAUACAGAAGGACUAUUAUUAAAUAUUUUAAAUUGGAUGAUUUCAUUGCACGAUAUAUAAACGUUGAGUUGUUUUUUAUUUUUCUAAAUCUUGAACGUAUAAUAUUCAUCAUGCAUAAACGUUGAGUUGUUUUUUUUAUUGAACAGAAAUAAAAAUCCUCAAAAUAUAACUUAAAGCUCAUCCCUCUUUAUCGCGGAUGGACUUAGGCCGUGUUCGUUUCAUCAGUCAGAUGGAUCAUCUAGAUAGAGAUGAGUUUUGAUGUUCGUUUGGUGCCAAAAACGGUUCAUUCAGAUGAUCUAUCCAAAUAAAUCAUCUGGAUGACUUUGAAAAUUUAAGCUAAAUUUUGAAACUUAUUUGGCUGAAUUUAAUUGGAUCAUUUGGAUGGAGAUGAUCCAGUCAAAAAUAACAAAUAACAAAAAUACCUUAAUUAUUUCAAUUGAUUAUUUAUAUGUAUUUUUUCGAUAAAAAAACAAAUAGACUUAAAUCUUAUUUUACAACUAUUUUUAAAAAAUAAAAAAUUAAAUUUUCCACUAAAACCGCAAAAUUAUUUUUUUUUCCGUUAAAACCGUAAAAUUUUGUUUUUCCGCCAAAACCGUAAGAUUCUGUUUUUCCGACAAAACCGCAAAAUCACGUUUUCCCGCCAAAACCGCAAAAUCACAUUUUCCCGCCAAAACCGCAAAAUCACGUUUUCCCGCCAAAACCGCAAAAUCGUGUUUUCCCGCCAAAACCGUAAAAUCACGUUUGUCCGUCAAAACCGUAAAAUCGAGUUUUUCCCGCCAUAACCGUAAAAUCACGUUUUCUAGUCAAAAACGUAAAAUCACGUUUUUCCGCCAAAACCGUAAAAUUUUGUUUUUCGCCAAAACCGUAAAAUCGAGUUUUCCCAUCAAAACUGUAAAACCACGUUUUCCCGCCAAAACCGUAAAAUAAAUUUAUAAAUGUAAAAAACUAUUAUUUGAAAUUUAUUUACUUUUAAAUAUAUUUUAGAUUAAGAAUUAAAAUUAACAUGUUUACAAGUAAUAAUAAAAAAUAUAAUUAGAUGAAAGCAUGGGUAGUUUAGGUAUUUGUAUUAUUACAAAUCAUUUGGAUGGAGAUAGAGAUAAGCAAACGAACAUCUCAUUCGGAUGGUCCAGUCAAAUGAACCGACUAAAAAUGAAACGAACAAGAGUUAAAUAAAUCAUCCAAAUAGACAUGUUGAAUGGAUCAGUUGGAUGGAUCUAUCAAAUGUAGAAACGAACAGGGCCUUAAAACCUUGACCAAAGAAAUCUUUGUAAUACCUGGCUGAUUGUUUCUCAUAACAUUGAGAUUAUUUUUAAAAUUGACGUAGUAGAAUCCCAAUCUGUUAUAUUAGAACCAUCUUGCUGAUAUUAUGUUGUGUUCAUUUUUAUGUACAUUGUCUUAUCUUAUCCGAUAUCAAAUUAUGUAACUUGAUUUUAUCUAAAUUGUUUGGAAAGAUUAAUCUCAAACUUGUAGCUACGGUGUGACAUCUUAUCCGAUCUCAAAUCAUGGUGAUUUUCUAAAAAUGUUAAACUAUUUCCAUUGUUUUAUUUCAUCGCCAAGCGGUUUAAGUUGUUGAAGUUAUUAGUCAUUAAAAUAUUUGCACGAUUUAGUUGUUAAGACGACGUCUAGUUAUUGCAUAAUCUAUUUCUUUAAAUAGAGGUAAAUUCGUAUUUUCAAUAUUUUAAAAACUAUGAUAUUUUUACUUCAUAUUUAAAAACAUCAGUCCUUUUGUAAAUUUAAGACUUUUUUUAAUAUAUAUAAUACAAUAUUUCUUCAUGUUUUGAAGGUAAAGAUACCUUCAUAUAAGGAUAAUAUAUUUAUACUAAAGCAUUCUUGAUCAUGUCAAAUAAGCUAGAAACUGAAGGAAUACAAAACACUUUUAUUAUUAUUAACCAAGACUUCAUGAAUCAUGAUCAAUCACAAACUAAAACAUAGGAAAGAAGCAUUGAACAGAAAACCAAAUCCUCAAAAUAUAACUUAAAGCUCAUCCUUCUUGAGCGCGGAUGGACGAACACCUUGACCGAGGAAAUCUUUGUAGUACUUGGCUGAUUCUUUCUCAUAACGUGUGAGGUUAUUUUUGAAAUCGACGUAAUAGAGUCCGAAUCUGUUAUUAUAACCAUCUUGCCAUUCAAAGUUAUCUAAUAAUGACCAUACAAAGU
rnacentral:lncRNA from 1 species